UAAACAUUUGUAGGACUUCCCAUUCUAGUAGCAUAUCGAUGCUGCUAUUGUGAAAAUAUUAACAAAAAUUGUUAUUAUCUGAAAAAUAUAGAGCCUAAAGACCAUACCUGAUUAGCCUAAUUUGGAAGUAUACAUUAUUCUGAAGCCGACUACUAAGGUAGCAACACUACGUACAACAUUAAAAAAACCAUAGGCGUGAGGACUGAAUCUUUAGAUUUGCAUAAGUGAUAGUAUCAAGGGGCUUAAAUAGAAGUGACAAAUUUGACACUAUUGGAGUGAACUACCUCUUGUCGCAAGGUUUUGUUAGGGCGAAGCUAGCAGAAAAGGUCAUUGAGAUCAUACUGUAACCCAAUGAGUUAAUAAGUUCAGAAUUUGUUGAUAUGAAGGGGUCAAGAUACUUCAUACACAUGAACUUUCACAUGCUUUGUCAGAACUCAUUUGUGUCACCUCACACCAACAACUGUACCUACACCUUGUUUUUGUGGUACUAAUAUAGAUCUAGAAAAUACUACAAUAUAUUAUAGGGGGAAAGAAGUGUGUACAACACUGGAAAUACCCAUAAUACACAUUAUUUAAGAGAUAUAUAUAUAUCUUGCAGGUUCAGAUCUGCAACAAUAUGGAGUCAGUAUGGAAAUACUCAGCGAGAAGCACAUAGUAUCUCCUAGUAGAUGCAGCAACACCAUCCUGUAUUAUUAUUGUCAAUUGAAACUUUCUUGCAAACUAAAAAAUGAAAUCAACUCAUGGAUAACCACCAAGGGGAAGCACACCAUACUGGAAAACCUUAUGCUUCUAUUUGUCGUAUUGAUGUUCAAUGCUGAAAAAAAAUCAAGGGAUUAUAACACAGAAAAACAACGUCAUUUCAACUUUUGUCAUGCAAAAGGAUGAAAAAAAACAAAAUGCAGAGAGAUUUCUAUGGAAUCCUGUACUAUCAAAAGCAUAUUAAAUGGUUGAAAGAGAGGUAACCUUGAUAAACUAAACUUGCAGCAGUAGCUGCGUAUUUCUUAUGAGAUGUUUGUUGGAGAAGUGCAGGAUCAAAUAACUGAACAUAAUUUGCCGAAGUCCUUCACAGUGCAACCAUUUUAUUUAUUUAUUUAUUUAUUUCUUCCAUAAAAAAUUGGUGUUGUAGAAAAUUUUCUUGGAUUUUCAAGGAAGACAUAACUGAAGAAACGUAUGCAUGAAAUCACUGAUAUAGAAAUCUAUGACAUUUUUUCCUAGAUAUUAUGAGAGUCUACUAUCACAGUUGUAUAACCAAAUGUUAAGAUGUCAUCUCAUCUCUGUUCAGCCACAUAAUGAACUUCCAUUGCAUAAUUUCAACAGUACCUACCAUCUCAUCUCCUUUUCUGUCCGUGUAUAGACCCACUCAAGCUUCAGUGCUUCACCAAGCUGAGCAACAGCAACACACAUCAGUUUACAUGCAAAAAAAUAGAAGAACAUUUACGUUUCUGCUACAGCACUACAUAAAAGCAUCUCAUAAAAUCUUAGUAAUACAAAAUUAUUAUAAAAUGAUCUAGCGCAUGCACGCUUGCACACACAGGAUAUCUGAAAGUAAUUAUUUUGCAUCUUCUUGUAUAAAUUAGUUUUUAAAAGCUAUAGGAUUGUAUUUAGGCAAAGACGACAUAUGCCUUGAAUCUUCAAUAUUCCGAGCCAUAUAAGUGUAGCAUGUUUCCGUCAUAGAGGGCAUCACUGUGUCGACAGUAUUGCCCAUGGGGACAACCUACUCGAUUGCUUUAAACUGCCAUUGUUAUGGCUCUCCCAUAAAAUCCCUCAUCGGAGAGGUAAAAAAUAGAUGCUUCGUUGCAGCAUACUCAACACUUCGAAGCUACGGAUUCAAUUGGAAUUUCCAAUCUGGAUAUUACAGAGAGAGCUGGAGAGACAUGAUUUAAUUAAUCCGGGUUUCCAGUUUGGAUAUCAUACCUUUUCUUGAACCCAUUCUAGUAUGUAUGUGAGGUUGAAGUGGCGAAUGGUAGGGGAGGAGACACGGAGAUGAGGAAGAACGGCAGUAGGAUUGCUUGACGAUGUGCCGGUGAUCUCGGGUAGCGAACAUAGGUUGUUCCAAUCUCGACGGAGGGUACGUAAUGUUUAGAGGAGGCUCUUAUCCGCCAACGCCAUGUGGCUGGAUUGUUGGAUCAAUAAAAGGAUGAUUUGUGAGGUGCGCAUGAUAUGCUGCCAUAUUGAACUCGUCGCCACCAGAUCGGUUGAGGGUGCGGAGGAGGAAAGGAUGAGGAGGAGGAGCCCUAGGGUUCGGUGCGUGCAGAAUAUUUUAGGUGGUGCGUUCGAGGGGAUUGACCAGUAAAGGAAAG
rnacentral:lncRNA from 1 species